rnacentral:rRNA from 1 species
CAAUAGCGUAUAUUAACGUUGUUGCAGUUAAAAAGCUCGUAGUUGGAUUUCUGGAGGGAGCGUCGGCCCGUAUUUACGAGUGCGUGACGUCUCUGUCCAUCCUUGCGGGAAGACACGGCAUUGAUUUGUUGUGUCGGAUCGCAUCAUUUACUGUGAAAAAAUUAGAGUGUUCAAAGCAGGCUUUCGCUUGAAUACAUUAGCAUGGAAUAAUAAGAUAGGACUUUGGUGCUAUUUUGUUGGUUGAGCCUAAAGUAAUGAUUAAUAGGGAUAGUUGGGGGCACCUGUAUUGCGUUGUCAGAGGUGAAAUUCUUGGAUUUACGCAAGACAAACAGCUGCGAAAGCGUCUGCCAAGGAUGUUUNCAUUAA